UACGAAGGGGUGCAAGCGUUAAUCGGAAUUACUGGGCGUAAAGCGUGCGUAGAUGGCCUGUUAAGUCGGAUGUGAAAGCCCCGGGCUCAACCUGGGAAUGGCAUCCGAUACUGGUGGGCUAGAGUGCGGUAGAGGAGAGCGGAAUUCCCGGUGUAGCGGUGAAAUGCGUAGAGAUCGGGAGGAACAUCCGUGGCGAAGGCGGCUCUCUGGACCAGCACUGACGUUGAGGCACGAAAGCGUGGGGAGCAAACAGG
rnacentral:rRNA from 1 species